rnacentral:rRNA from 1 species
CCUACGGGAGGCAGCAGUCGAGAAUCAUUCACAAUGGGGGAAACCCUGAUGGUGCGACGCCGCGUGGGGGAAUGAAGGUCUUCGGAUUGUAAACCCCAGUCAUGUGGAAGCAAAUUACAAAGAUAGUACCACAAGAGCAAGCGACGGUUAACCCUGCGCCAGCAGCAGCGGUAAUACAGAGUUCUUAAGCGUUGUUCGGAAUCACUGGACGUAAAGCGUGCGUAGGCGGUUUCGUAAGUCGGGGGUGAAGGGCGCGGGCUCAACCCGCGGACGGCACAGGAUACUGCGUGACUGGAGUGAAGGAGGGGGAACCGGAAUUCCCGGUGUAGCAGUGAAAUGCGUAGAUA